rnacentral:rRNA from 1 species
GACGAACGCUGGCGGCGUGCCUAAUACAUGCAAGUCGAGCGAAGUUUUUCUGGUGCUUGCACUAGAAAAACUUAGCGGCGAACGGGUGAGUAACACGUAAAGAACCUGCCUCAUAGACUGGGACAACUAUUGGAAACGAUAGCUAAUACCGGAUAACAGUAUUUCUCGCAUGAGAGAUAUUUAAAAGUUGGUUAUGCUAACACUAUGAGAUGGCUUUGCGGUGCAUUAGCUAGUUGGUGGGGUAAAGGCCCACCAAGGCGACGAUGCAUAGCCGACCUGAGAGGGUGAUCGGCCACACUGGGACUGAGACACGGCCCAGACUCCUACGGGAGGCAGCAGUAGGGAAUCUUCCGCAAUGGGCGAAAGCCUGACGGAGCAACGCCGCGUGAGUGAAGGCCUUCGGGUUGUAAAGCACUUUUGGCGGGAACGAAAAGGACUGUGCCAAUACCACGGUUCGAUGACGGUACCCGCAGAAUAAGCACCGGCUAACUACGUG